GCCGGCUCCGCCCCUACCCCCCGCCGGAGGAGAUGGUUUCUCCCACCGGCAAGCGGGGAGGCGGGGCGGCCGGCUGCCACCUGGGCCGGGGCGCGUCCUCGGCACCUGGGCCCGCGGAGGGAAGCAAAAUGCCUUGCUCUAUGGGCACCAAACCACCACCACCUCUACCAAACCUUUCUCGGGGAAGCAGAAGGGGCGCUUGUGCCGUGUGAGGAAGCGACAGAGGCUCCUCCUGCCCCUGGAGACUUCAGGCCAACGGAGCACCAGCUCUCUUCGUCCUCGCAAUGGCCCGAGUGCAGGCAAAACACAGUCAUUUGGAUUUAUCUGAAAGGAGCUUUGGGAUAUAAAUAGGUUCAGGCCCCGCUGCUCUGUCCUUCCAGGCCAGCCUCCUGAUUGAAACUGAGCUGCUUCCGGGUAGGCUUGCUUCUGGUUGCCGGUCCCAUGCUGUGUUCGGAUGGGCUCUGUGACAGGUUUGGAUGUUUUCUAUCACUGAAUAAAACUUUCCACUUUGGAACAUGUUUUCUGCUCUCUGCUGUCUCAUCUAAGUCCUGCAGCAACUAUGAAGUAGGCCCAUUUUAUGGAGUGAAAAAGCGAGGCACAGAGUAUUUGCCCAAAGUCAUAAAGUCAAGUCACCGAAGCAUCGUAAUGUGUGAAGUGAACAGUAUAAUAAUAUGACUGAAUCACAGUGGGAAUCCAGUCACGCUUUUCUCUUUCCCUAAUCCCACUAAGCCACACUUUUAGGGGCUUACAAACCAUUUCUUAUUGCCAAGCCCUCUACUCUACCCUAUCCUUUGAUAAAUCAGAGCCUAGCCUCUGAUAACAGAAAUAAUUUAUUUGUCUUGAUGUAGAGAGAUGAAGUUGUGACCCUGAGUGACAGUCAUGACAGAACAAAACCACAAGACCAGACCACAUUUGUGGAUAAAUAUAUUAGCAAAUAAAUACAUUUCUCAACGUAGUGCCUGA